rnacentral:rRNA from 1 species
UAACUGCGAGUGAAGCGGGAAAAGCUCAAAUUUAAAAUCUGGUGGUCUUUGGCCAUCCGAGUUGUAAUCUAGAGAAGUGUUAUCCGCGCUGGACCGUGUACAAGUCCCCUGGAAUGGGGCGUCAUAGAGGGUGAGAAUCCCGUCUUUGACACGGACUACCAGGGCUUUGUGAUGCACUCUCAAAGAGUCGAGUUGUUUGGGAAUGCAGCUCAAAAUGGGUGGUAAAUUCCAUCUAAAGCUAAAUAUUGGCGAGAGACCGAUAGCGAACAAGUACCGUGAGGGAAAGAUGAAAAGAACUUUGGAAAGAGAGUUAAACAGUACGUGAAAUUGUUGAAAGGGAAACGCUUGAAGUCAGUCGCGUCUGCCAGGGAUCAACCUUACUUUUGUGAGGCGUACUUCCUGGUUGAUGGGUCAGCAUCAGUUUUGGUCGCUGGAUAAAGGUCAGAGAAAUGUGGCACCUUCGGGUGUGUUAUAGUCUUUGAUCAGAUACAGUGGCUGGGACUGAGGAACUCAGCGCCGCAAGGCUGUCUUAGGAUGCUGGCAAAAUGGCUUUAAUCGACCCGUCUUGAAACACGGACCAAGGAGUCUAACAUGCCUGCGAGUGUUUGGGUGGAAAACCCGAGCGCGUAAUGAAAGUGAAAGUUGGGAUCCCUGUCAUGGGGAGCACCGACGCCCAUACCAGAAGUUUACGGACGGAUAUGCGGUAGAGCAUGUAUGUUGGGACCCGAAAGAUGGUGAACUAUGCCUGAAUAGGGCGAAGCCAGAGGAAACUCUGGUGGAGGCUCGUAGCGAUUCUGACGUGCAAAUCGAUCGU